GAUGAACGCUGGCGGCGUGCUUAACACAUGCAAGUCGAACGAUGAAGCCCAUCUUGCUGGGUGGAUUAGUGGCGAACGGGUGAGUAACACGUGAGUAACCUGCCCUUAACUCUGGGAUAAGCCUGGGAAACUGUGUCUAAUACUGGAUAGGAGCGUCCACCGCAUGGUGGGUGUUGGAAAGAUUUAUCGGUUUUGGAUGGACUCGCGGCCUAUCAGCUUGUUGGUGAGGUAAUGGCUCACCAAGGCGACGACGGGUAGCCGGCCUGAGAGGGUGACCGGCCACACUGGGACUGAGACACGGCCCAGACUCCUACGGGAGGCAGCAGUGGGGAAUAUUGCACAAUGGGCGCAAGCCUGAUGCAGCGACGCCGCGUGAGGGAUGACGGCCUUCGGGUUGUAAACCUCUUUCAGUAGGGAAGAAGCGAAAGUGACGGUACCUGCAGAAGAAGCACCGGCUAACUACGUG
rnacentral:rRNA from 1 species